rnacentral:rRNA from 1 species
AAAAUUAGAGUGUUCAAAGCAGGCAGAUCCAAUUUUCUGCCACCGAAUACAUUAGCAUGGGAUAAUGGAAUAGGACCCUGUCCUCCUAUUUUCAGUUGGUUUUGGCAGCGCGAGGACUAGGGUAAUGAUUAAUAGGGAUAGUUGGGGGCAUUAAUAUUUAAUUGUCAGAGGUGAAAUUCUUGGAUUUAUGAAAGAUUAACUUCUGCGAAAGCAUCUGCCAAGGAUGUUUUCAUUAAUCAAGAACGAAAGUUAGGGGAUCGAAGACGAUCAGAUACCGUCGUAGUCUUAACCAUAAACGAUGCCGACCAGCGAUUAGGAGACGUUGAAUACAAAACACCACCAUCGGCGCGGUCGUCCUUGGCGUCGGUCUUUCGGGGCCGCCGCGCGAGCGCCUUAUACCGGUGUGACCGGUGAA